GGCAGCCUCGGAGCACGGCUGGCUGGCGGAAAGUAGCUGCAGUGUCCUGGCAAAAUAUCUGUCCAAAAACGUCCCCAAAAACUGUCCCGGAAAGUUAGGUGUAACUGAAAGACAGGCAGCAGACUCAGACAGGCGCCAGUCCGCGAGGACAAGAGGAGGAAGAUGUUGUCCAUUGUGCCGCUGACAGAGACUCAGAUUCAGGCUCGCUUUACGCGGAGAGGAUACCUGCUUACCAAUGUGAUGUCUGAGACCUUGGCGACUGCUCAGCAGCAACAUACUGGAUACCAUGACGCUAAUGGCAAAGAGGAUUGUGGACUGAACUGCUGAGCUGAAUCAGCAGGACGAGGAAAGAGACAACCAUUACUUCUGGAUGAGAACUGAUGGGCUGUCCAAGCUGGGGAUAGCAUGCCAGCUGCAAAGGGCAAAGGUGGCACCAUGUCCCACCGCUACCGGCCAGCCUCAGAGUACGAUGAUGCCGCACUUGCCCAAAAGAGAGAAUACUGGAGAAACAAGAAGCGAGAGCAGAGGGCUCGUCUGUCAGAGCGAAGAGGAAAGCCAGUACAAGCUAGCAGGGGAGAGAAGCUUCUUCAUGUAAAUUCCAGUGUGCCCAGCUCCUUUAAGGCUUCAUCCUCUCCUUUGCAGAUCAGUGAUGAUUCUGCUUCACACAUUGGAAGUACAGUGGCGGACUGUUCACUUGAAGCCACUGAAAACCAAAAGGAAAAGUGGCUCCAGACAAUGAAACUUAACAAAGUUCUGCCUCAUUUGCCAUCAUUGUCGCAUUCCAAUUCAGCCAAAGCUGCAGGGGGCGACACAGCCACAGCGAAAUGUGCAACAGCUAGGGGUGCUGUGCACAGAGCUGUUACCUCAACCCCGAGCACCAGUUCCACAGUGCCUCCAGUGACCAGAAUUACAAAUGGCAGCUCCACUAAAACAGCACCUCCCCCAUGUGUGUCUAUGCAGGGCGCAUCAGUCCCCAAAACUCAACAGAAGGCACAAGCUGUAUCACCCAUUCAGCCCAAACUUCUCCCCAGCAGUAAGACCACAGGAGGUAUGCUUCUCGUGUCUUCUCCAUGCGGCUCUGUUUCUUUUAAAACGGAGGACACAGCAACACAAAAGAGUGCCUUGGUCAUGGUGCAGAGGGCUAAAGACAACGCACAACCUUCCCAAGAGUCCGAGGAGGAGAGGGCGGUAAGGCGCAGGGAGCAGUGGCGGAUCAAGAAACGAGAGCAGAGAGCAAAGCUGGCAGCUCGCUUACCCAAAGCCAGAGAGAGGACACAGGGAGCUGAGGUGAUGUUUCAGCGGCGAGCAGGACUCACAGGCAGCUCUGUUCUUCCAUCUCAGCCGUUUUUGAGAGGAGGCCAAAAACAGUGUGUUGUUCGGGUAAAAAUGCCUGUCAAAAGAGAAAAUGACAAAUUGCAAAAUGGAGCGGCAAACACAAUAAUACACCAGAUAAAGGUACAGAAUCCAUAUGAGGAUAAGGCAAGGGAAUCACAGAGGAGGUUUUCAAGUUUCGUACAUCUUUCUAAUGUCACCCGAGGGAUUGCGCGAUGUAAAACUCCCAGACAAAGGUUCAUUGAAGCACAGAAGAACUUCCUGAUUCAGAGAAACAACAGAUUUAAAUCCCCAUUGAUGGUUUCUGUGUUUAGUUCUAGAAACAUACCCAAAAUCAACCCAAAUGACACACCAGAGCAGAUCAUAGCAAAACGCAGAGAAUACUGGCGGAUUAAAAAGCGUGAGCAGCGGGCUAAGCUGUCAAUGGAAAUGAAGGCUCGGUUGAAAGAGAAAGACUCUCUGAUGCGAAGGGUAAAACGUUAUCAGAAAAUACUCGAGGACAUGAGGAAGGCCAGAGCUGUAAACGCCCUCACCCACGCUUCUGAGACCAUCGGGGGGUUCAUCAAAGAGGACGGAACACUAACUGUUAACAUGCCCACAAAUCAGAGUGUGGCAGAGGAAAAGACUGAAGGAGAGCUGCGUGUAGCUUCUAAAAGUUCUUCCACCACACGUUCACAGCUUCAGUCUGAGAAGAGAGGUGUCACUCUCCUCAGGAUCCAGGCGCCUCCCCCUCCUCUCUGUGCAGCUCAGGUCAAAGUUUCUUUCCCUCUUGCUGAACAUUCAGUCAAUAAACCUCCAAGACUGCUGUCCAUCAGACCACAGCUUCAGCCUGAAAGCACAACUGUUCCUCACACACACUCAGCUGGUCAGCUCACACUCACUCAUCCCCAAACUCCUCCAAACUCCACUCCCAGCGGAUCAACGACUGGGUCAAACCUUGGCAGCUGUGUCAUGAAAAUGGCUGUCUCAAGUGGUGCUCCUUCUUUGUCUGCUCUGUCUAUAGGCCAAGGUUUAACAGAGGAGGAGAGGAUGGCGAAGAAAAGGGAGUACUGGAGGAUAAAGAAGCGUGAACAGCGUGCAGCUCGUGCUGUUUGGCUAAAGCAGGGUGUCUUACAAGCGAGAGCCAACACAGCCUUACAGAAAAGGAACACUCAGAAGCAAGAAGCAAAACCAGCUAUGUCAGGACAUGCACAGCCUCCCCCCAGCAACAGCAGCACCACGCCUGUUAUGCCCAGUGCAAAGGAGAUAAAACAUGAGAGUGAGUCUGUGCCAGCAGUUGACCUAAAUUCUCAACCAGAACAAGCCAUCUGUCCAGAUAUCAAACCUCCAACGCCUCCGCCUGAGCCUGACCCAGCUCUCAGUGCAGACAGCCAGGCUACCACUUUGCUAGCGGUGGCCUCUAUGAAGAAGCUCCUGGAGGAGUCGCUCAGCGCUGUGACAGAGACAGCUGAUGUUGAAGUACAGACAUCAGAAGAAACUUCAAAGCAAUGCAUAAAGUCUGAUUUACCUCCGCUGUUUUUUGAAAGGGAUGACAUGGCUCCUAUUGCAGCCGAUCAGACCCUGCAGAUAAAAAGCAGGCAGCCAGAUAGUGAUGUCUUACAGGCGGAUUCCAAAACCUCACAGCUCGGUAGUAGUGAUCCUUCCUCCAGUGAGGUAGCCCUGAUUCGUAUUAGUGAACCUUCAUCCAAGGCCUGCUCAAACUUCACAGUGAACCCCCCAGUGGAAUCCUCUGAAGGCCCAUCCUCACCACGCAGAACCCACAGGCUUCGCCCCAAAAAGCCAGGCCAUCAAACCUGCUGCUCUCCAGAUCCACCAAAGCUACAUCACCUCAUAGCUGCACCCCCGGAUGAACUACAGCAGCGACCCUGUGAACAACAACGGUGUCCUGUACCAGAACAACUCCAAAACAGUACCUCGGCUUCAGCACAAAGGUAUCACAGUGUGGAGAUGGAGCAGAGCGGCCUUACCAGCCUGCAGAAGAAGAGGGAGUACUGGAAGCUGAUGAAGAGGCAGCAGAGGGCCAGGCUAAAGGCCAGGCUAAGAGAGAGGCAGGCGGAGGGCAGCAAUCGUCCAUCUGCGAGAAAUAUCCAGGCUCCAGGGCUGGUUAUUAUUAAAACUGUUAAAGCUGUGAAUACUCCCGUCCUCCAGCCCAAACCUGUCACCCCUCUGGCUGCAGUGAGCAGCAUCCCUUCCGUCUUGGUUGUUACCCAGACAUGUAACGCUGAUACCCUCCAGGUUAAAAUGCCUGUUGCCAGCAGAGAGCAGAACAACACAGGACCUUCGGAGAUUAUGUCCAACUCUACAGUUGUUCCUGAAAAGUGGACAUCCAGAACCGGAACAGAUACAGACUCUGCCCCCUCCCUCCCUACUCUGAAACCCCCAGAUAAUCCACUGUCUAGCAUCAACCUGCAACCCAUUGAACCCCCUGGUCAAAGCCCAAAUUCCAUCCUGAGUCCGAUAAAAAUUCCUUGUACUCAGCGUCAGAGUCCGACGCAUGUGCUACAAUCCUCACCUAAGCUGUCCCCAAUGAGCACCAUGGUUCCUCCAAAGCCCAUCCCAGGGGAGUCUGAGGAGGACUUCCUGAAGAGGAAGCGCGAGUACUGGAGGAUAAAGAAGAAGGAGCAGAGAGCCAGGAAGGCUAUUCGGGACAAGGGACUUGCCUCAAGGCGAGUCUCCAACAACUGGAGACCUAUCCUGCCAGCCCAGGAUCUACAGACACAGGACUGUGGUCAGUGGGUGAAUUCCUCUGAGGAGUCAGGACAGUUAUUGAGCACGUCAAUGGACACCAACCCAGAUUCCUUUACAUACUCAAGUUACACAGCACCAAUAGAAGAUGAAUCAGAGCUCAUUUUUGCUGACUACGACAAUAACGAAGAGGAAGGUCCCAUCUCAGAUGCGGUGUGGAGAAACCGCUACCUCAUGGACUAUGACCCGCUCAAUCAGCUGCUGGUGUGCAUGGUGUGUGGGGAGUUGCAGUACUCCCACAGCCUGGAAGGAGUGAGGACCCAUAUUGAUGAGGCCCACCCACACACCCUCACCCUGGAACCUGGGGAGAAACAGCGAAUCCUGGAGGCCUGGGACGAGCAGGUUUCCCAGCGGGAACGCUUCUUCACCAGCCAGCUGCAGCAGCACAGUGGGGCCCUGGCAGAAGCACACAGGAACUAAACAGCUAAGAGGAUGACUGCAGGAAUCGGCAGAGGACCUGGGACCAGGAGAAAACCUAACUUUUAAAAUGUCUUAUUUAUUUAUGUGUUUUUAUUAGUCCGUUUACCUUCACAGAAAGUCACCUUGAAAGAGAAUGCUGUACAGGGAAAAUGAGCCCUAAAGCAGCUUUACCUCAUUUUCCUAGCAGGGUUAUAGUGUGGGUUUAUGAAAGGCAGUGUGGACACUUUUUAUACUGAAGCUGCCUUAUUUGAGAUUUUGUUGAUUAUUUAAAAGAGCCCAAAACUCUGGGAAAUACAGUCUUCAUGCUAGAUUAGGCUAAAUGCCUCGACUUUUAAUCUUAAUGUUUUAAACCCUAUAAAGAUCCAGAGUUUUCAGCAGGCUGGGAUCUGAUAAAAGACACCAUAAGCAUAAACAGACAAACAGAGAAGAGGCCACACAGAAAUUGCAGGGCAAUAGCAAUUUUAUUUAUUAUGCAACUUCGUGCAUUUGUUUUAAUUGUAUGGAGUGAUUUAGAAUAAAGUGGAACAGAACUACA
ensembl:lncRNA uncharacterized LOC114450945